GGCCAGGCUGGCAACAGAGCAAGCAAGACU
rnacentral:SRP_RNA from 1 species